rnacentral:rRNA from 1 species
AACGAACGCUGGCGGCAGGCUUAACACAUGCAAGUCGAGCGCAUCCUUCGGGGUGAGCGGCGGACGGGUGAGUAACGCGUGGGAACGUGCCCUCUUCUACGGAAUAGCCCAGGGAAACUUGGAUUAAUGCCGUAUACGCCCGAAAGGGGAAAGAUUUAUCGGAGGAGGAUCGGCCCGCGUUGGAUUAGGUAGUUGGUGGGGUAAUGGCCUACCAAGCCGACGAUCAGUAGCUGGUUUGAGAGGAUGGUCAGCCACACUGGGACUGAGACACGGCCCAGACUCCGACGGGAGGCAGCAGUGAGGAAUUUGCCACCAUGGGCGAAAGCCUGAUGGAGCGACGCCGCGAGAAGCAUGAAGCUUUUCGGAGUGUAAACUUCUUUUAUGUGGGAAGAUUAUGACGGUACCACAUGAAUAAGGACCGGCUAACUACGUGCCAGCAGCCGCCGUAACAC